rnacentral:rRNA from 1 species
GAUGAACGCUAGCGGCAGGCCUAAUACAUGCAAGUCGAGUGGCAAGUCGAGGAGUAAUCUGAGACCUAGAGCGGCGUACGGGUGCGUAACGCGUAUGCAACCUACCUCAUACAGGGGGAUAGCCCGGAGAAAUCUGGAUUAAUACCCCAUAGCACAGCACAAGGGCAUCUGCGAGCUGUUAAAGAUUCAUCGGUAUGAGAUGGGCAUGCGUCUGAUUAGCUAGUUGGCGGUGUAACGGACCACCAAGGCGACGAUCAGUAGGGGUUCUGAGAGGAAGGUCCCCCACACUGGCACUGAGAUACGGGCCAGACUCCUACGGGAGGCAGCAGUAGGGAAUAUUGGGCAAUGGACGAGAGUCUGACCCAGCCAUGCCGCGUGCAGGAAGAAGGCCUUCUGGGUUGUAAACUGCUUUUAUCUGGGAAGAAAAGGCCCAUGCGUGGGACAUUGCCGGUACCAGAUGAAUAAGCACCGGCUAACUCCGUGCCAGCAGCCGCAGUAA